GAUGAAGAACGCAGCGAAAUGCGAUAAGUAAUGUGAAUUGCAGAAUUCAGUGAAUCAUCGAAUCUUUGAACGCACAUUGCGCCCGCCAGUAUUCUGGCGGGCAUGCCUGUUCGAGCGUCAUUACAACCCUCAGGCCCCCGGGCCUGGCGUUGGGGAUCGGCGGAGCCCCCCGUGGGCACACGCCGUCCCCCAAAUGCAGUGGCGGUCCCGCCGCAGCUUCCAUCGCGUAGUAGCUAACACCUCGCGACUGGAGAGCGGCGCGGCCACGCCGUAAAACACCCAACUCUUCUGAAGUUGACCUCGAGUCAGGUAGGAAUACCCGCUGAACUUAAGCAUAUCAAUAAGCGGAGGA
rnacentral:misc_RNA from 1 species